rnacentral:lncRNA from 1 species
CCGCCUCGGCCCCCGCCUCCACCUCCACCCACGCCGUCCUGGGGCUCCUCCUGGACGGCGCGCGCCCAGGUGAUGCUCUGCUGCCGCCUGCUCGUGGAGGCGGGCUGGUGCUCUGCUGCUGUCCGCUGGUGGAGUCGAGCUGCUGCUCUGCUGCCGGCUGCUGGUGAAGGCGAGCUGGUGCCCGCACACGCCCAGGGGAGCUGCUGCCACUGAAGCACUCACCGCACACAGGAGCUGCUGCCGCUGAAGUACUCGCCGCUGCACAGGAGCUGCUGGCCUAGGUUCAUCUCCUCGCCCAGUACCCGCUCUGCAUCAAUUUGAUGAUCAUAAGCAAUCAGAUGAUCAUAAACUAAGACUUGCUCAUAUGAGUAAACAAUUUGAUGAUCAUAAACAAGAGUAAUUCAAAGAAAUAUUUGUUGCCAAUAAUUCAAGACAAGAGUAAUUCAAGAGAUAAUUGCUGCCAAUGAUUCGAGUGAAUACUCCAUCAGAAUUUGUUCAAAUUAUUGGGAUGACGACGGAUAGAUGACAUGUAAUUAACCUGGGGAGAAAAGGCCACCAAUAACCAUGAGUUCAUGUAUUGGUUUUGAUCUCAGGAAGCAAGGUUUUGAUUUCUUACAACAUGCCACUACUCUAGGAGAAAAUUUUGGUAUCUCAUGAAGAAAUUAUGAGGUUUACUCUGCUAAUAGCCCUGAUCUGAAUGGCCUUGACCUUGGGUUCUUCAACUCGUUGCAAUCUCUAACAGAUUGUCUAAGCCCUAGAACGCUUCAAGAUCUUAUCAAGGGUGUGCUAGAUGAAUUUGAAAACUAUGAGGUUUACAAGCUGAACAGAGUUUUCCUAUCUCCACAAGCUUGCAUGGUUGAAAUCUUGAACCAUGCAGGGGGCAAUGGGUAUAAAAUACCCCAUGCGAACAAGGAAAGGCUAGAGAACCUUGGGAUGCUACCUCCAAGACUUACAUGCCCUCCAGAGGUAUAUGCAAAUGCCCUGCACAAUCUUGGGAUAAUGGAGAGAGUUGCUUGUUGAGAUGCUUGUCGAGAUGCUUGAGGAGUUGCUUGUUGAGAUGCUUGUCGAGAUGCUUGUUGAGAUGCUUGAGGAGUUGCUUGUUGAGAUGCUUGAGGAGUUGCUUGUCGAGAUGCUUGUCGAGAUGCUUGAGGAGUUGCUUGUUGAGUUGCUUGUCGAGAUGCUAGUUGAGAUGCUUGAGGAGUUGCUUGUUNNNNNNNNNNUACUCCCUCUGUACCGAAAUGUAGGUCGCUGGGGCAAAUGUUCCGACCAGGUGAAAAUGGGCAAAUGGACAUUUAUACCCUUAGUUUAAAUUUUGAAUCAGGUCGCUGGAUCGUCUUCCACCUCCGCCACCGCCCCUGCCCUCCACCUCCGCCUCCGGCCCCGCCCUCCACCUCCGCCUCCGCCCCCGCCUCCGUCCCCGCCCUCCACCUCCGCCUCGGCCCCCGCCUCCACCUCCACCCACGCCGUCCUGGGGCUCCUCCUGGACCGCGCGCGCCCAGGUGAUGCUCUGCUGCCGCCUGCUCGUGGAGGCGAGCUGGUGCUGUGCUGCUGUCCGCUGGUGGAGUCGAGCUGCUGCUCUGCUGCCGGCUGCUGGUGAAGGCGAGCUGGUGCCCGCACGCGCCCAGGGGAGCUGCUGCCGCUGAAGCACUCACCGCACACAGGAGCUGCUGCCGCUGAAGUACUCGCCGCUGCACAGGAGCUGCUGGCCUAGGUUCAUCUCCUCGCCCAGUACCCGCUCUGCAUCAAUUUGAUGAUCAUAAGCAAUCAGAUGAUCAUAAACUAAGACUUGCUCAUAUGAGUAAACAAUUUGAUGAUCAUAAACAAGAGUAAUUCAAAGAAAUAUUUGUUGCCAAUAAUUCAAGACAAGAGUAAUUCAAGAGAUAAUUGCUGCCAAUGAUUCGAGUGAAUACUCCAUCAGAAUUUGUUCAAAUUAUUGAGAUGACGACGGAUAGACGACAUGUAAUUAACCUGGGGAGAAAAGGCCACCAAUAACCAUGAGUUCAUGUAUUGGUUUUGAUCUCAGGAAGCAAGGUUUUGAUUUCUUACAACAUGCCACUACUCUAGGAGAAAAUUUUGGUAUCUCAUGAAGAAAUUAUGAGGUUUACUCUGCCAAUAGCCCUGAUCUGAAUGGCCUUGACCUUGGGUUCUUCAACUCGUUGCAAUCUCUAACAGAUUGUCUAAGCCCUAGAACGCUUCAAGAUCUUAUCAAGGGUGUGCUAGAUGAAUUUGAAAACUAUGAGGUUUACAAGCUGAACAGAGUUUUCCUAUCUCCACAAGCUUGCAUGGUUGAAAUCUUGAACCAUGCAGGGGGCAAUGGGUAUAAAAUACCCCAUGCGAACAAGGAAAGGCUAGAGAACCUUGGGAUGCUACCUCCAAGACUUACAUGCCCUCCAGAGGUAUAUGCAAAUACCCUGCACAAUCUUGGGAUAAUGGAGAGAGUUGCUUGUUGAGAUGCUUGUCGAGAUGCUUGAGGAGUUGCUUGUUGAGAUGCUUGUCGAGAUGCUUGUUGAGAUGCUUGAGGAGUUGCUUGUUGAGAUGCUUGAGGAGUUGCUUGUUGAGAUGCUUGAGGAGUUGCUUGUUGAGUUGCUUGUCGAGAUGCUAGUUGAGAUGCUUGAGGAGUUGCUUGUUGAGAUGCCUAUCGAGAUGCUUGUUGAGAUGCUUGAGGAGUUGCUUGUUGAGAUGCUUGUCGAGUUGCUUGUUAAGAUGCUUGUGAUUAUUUGUGUGGAGUAUGUGUAACUCCUUGUUUGUGUGGAGUAUGCGUAACCCUAGAGAUGUGGCUUGUGUGGAGUAUAUGUAACUCCUUGAGAAGAGACUUGUGUGGAGUGCAUCAUUUGUAUGAUCAUUUUCGGAAACCCCAUGUGAAAUUACUCCAUAUGUUUGCAAAAGGCUUCUAUGGACUGGAUUUUACUCCAUACAUAUGAUCAUUUUUGUUUGAAAAGUUUCAUUUAAUUUUGUGUGGAGUACAUCAUUUGUGUGAUCAUUUUUGUUUAAUUAAGAGAGAAGAGGAGAGGGCACUGGAAGAGAGAGAGAGAGAGAGAGAAGAGAAGAGAGGGAACCGGAAGAUAAUCCAGUUUCAUUUGAUUUAGGUCUCAUAUUGUUGCACUAUUGUAAGAACUACUCCUACUCCAAGAACUACUCCUACUCCUAUUUUUAAUUAAAACUAAACAGCAGGUCCACAUGAUUCUAAUUUUAAUUUAAGGAAAAUUCCACACGAUUUUACUUGUAUGGCCUAUCGCGAUUUUACUGAAACUACUCCUGAUUUUACAGAAACUACUCCUAUCAUGAUUUUGCUGUCAUUAAUAUGCAAGCAACAAUUAAGUUCACAAUAUUAUGCAAGUUAACAAGCUUCAGUAGCCCAAGUUUCAGUACAUAAGUUAACAGAAGCUACAGACGACAACUUUUAAAAGAAGCUACUCUGCACUCUACCUGCAGUAGAUAAACAAAUUGUAUACAGGGAGUAUGUACUGAGAUUGCAGUGAAAACAAAUAAGAAGAACACAUUUAGUCUGAUUGUGUUAUUGACAAUUUAAAGCAUUUUUUGAUACACACAUUGUGAAUGAUGGCAUGGUCUUACAGUAGCUGGAGCUUCCAAGACACUCAGGGCAUUCCUCUUCAACUUCACCUCCACACCAUUCUUCAGAACCUGCUUUUAUGAUAAUAUCUCAGGAAUUAGAACAAGAUACCACAUUUGGUUGCUUGACUAGCUAAUUUCUGAAAAGAAAAGUGAAGUCAAAAGACAUUAUUUCUUUCACUCCAUUGCAAUUGUCAAUCAUUAUAGAGAACCAGCCACUAGCUAAGCAGAGUUUCAGUGGGAUGCCCAAAUAAUAAUUGGAAGCAAGAAUCACUUUAUAAGCAGAGUUUCAGUAGAAUCUCAAGAUUCAUAGCAGAGUGAGAAUCCAGCAUCUGAUAUCUGGAGGAUUGGUGAACACUGAACAUUUGAUGCAGUUACAUAAAUCCAAAGCUAUACUAAGUUACCAGCAGUAAGAAUCACUUUAUAACACAGCAAAAAAUUGCAGCACAAGGUAACUAUUCCAAGACUGAACUUAGCGCAGUAGGUGNNNNNNNNNNUGCUUGUCGAGAUGCUAGUUGAGAUGCUUGAGGAGUUGCUUGUUGAGAUGCCUGUCGAGAUGCUUGAGGAGUUGCUUGUUGAGUUGCUUGUCGAGAUGCUAGUUGAGAUGCUUGAGGAGUUGCUUGUUGAGAUGCCUGUCGAGAUUCUUGUUGAGAUGCUUGAGGAGUUGCUUGUUGAGAUGCUUGUCGAGUUGCUUGUUAAGAUGCUUGUGAUUAUUUGUGUGGAGUAUGUGUAACUCCUUGUUUGUGUGGAGUAUGCGUAACCCUAGAGAUGUGGCUUGUGUGGAGUAUAUGUAACUCCUUGAGAAGAGACUUGUGUGGAGUGCAUCAUUUGUAUGAUCAUUUUCGGAAACCCCAUGUGAAAUUACUCCAUAUGUUUGCAAAAGGCUUCUAUGGACUGGAUUUUACUCC